rnacentral:rRNA from 1 species
UACGUAGGUGGCAAGCGUUGUCCGGAUUUAUUGGGCGUAAAGGGCGCGCAGGCGGUUCGUUAGGUCCGAGGUGAAAUCUCCCGGGCUCAACUGGGAGGGGUCUUCGGAUACCGGCGGGCUUGAGGUAAGCAGAGGUGAGCGGAAUUCUGGGUGUAGUGGUGAAAUGCGUAGAUAUCCAGAGGAACACCAGUGGCGAAGGCGGCUCACUGGGCUCCACCUGACGCUGAGGCGCGAAAGCGUGGGGAGCGAACCGG